rnacentral:rRNA from 1 species
UGCCUACGGGAGGCAGCAGCCGCGGUAAUACGUAGGUGGCAAGCGUUGUCCGGAUUUAUUGGGCGUAAAGCGAGUGCAGGCGGUUCAAUAAGUCUGAUGUGAAAGCCUUCGGCUCAACCGGAGAAUUGCAUCAGAAAAUGUUGAACUUGAGUGCAGAAGAGGAGAGGGGAACUCCAUGUGUAGCGGUGAAAUGCGUAGAUAUAUGGAAGAACAACAGUGGCGAAGGCGGCUCU